GUAGGGAAUAUUGGGCAAUGGUCGGAAGACUGACCCAGCCAUGCCGCGUGCAGGAAGACGGCCCUCUGGGUUGUAAACUGCUUUUAUCUGGGAAGAAAAAGGCCAUGCGUGGCAAAUUGCCGGUACCAGAUGAAUAAGCACCGGCUAACUCCGUGCCAGCAGCCGCGGUAAUACGGAGGGUGCAAGCGUUGUCCGGAUUUAUUGGGUUUAAAGGGUGCGUAGGCGGCUGAUUAAGUCAGCGGUGAAAGACUCCGGCUUAACCGGAGCAGUGCCGUUGAUACUGGUUAGCUUGAGUGUUGGAGGGGUACAUGGAAUUGAUGGUGUAGCGGUGAAAUGCAUAGAUACCAUCAGGAACACCGAUAGCGAAGGCAUUGUACUGGCCAACAACUGACGCUGAUGCACGAAAGUGUGGGGAUCGAACAGGAUUAGAAACCCUUGUAGUCC
rnacentral:rRNA from 1 species